rnacentral:lncRNA from 1 species
GAAAUGUUGAGGAUGGCGUCGGACUGGGGAAAAUAACAUCAUCAUUGCAAGGAAUUUCUGGGUCCUCGGUGUUUAAAAAGCAGCAAAUAACCCCAUGGCGUAGUUCUGGAAAUUCAGGGUUCACAGCCGGUAUAGAUGGCAACAUUUGGGCCUCUGAAGUGCAAGAAUUAUGCCCAUAGCUGCCAAAAUCUUCUGCACAUACACCCCCGGGAAUAUUUACAUGUUCAUCAGGAGGUAUAAUUGCUCCUGAUACAGUUAUACUGGAAAUGUUAUCCUCCUCGGGAAAAUCCAUCAAGAAUGAGCUCAAAUCAAAUGCACCUAUUGCGUCCUUCCCAUCAAACUCCAUGAGAAGUUCUUCCUCAUCUGUCAAGUCCAUU